GACCGCACCGCCACCACCUGCGACAGAGACGGUCGUUUCGUGAGAGGAAGGACGUCCUGAAUGAGCUAGAUGACCGUGAGCUGGUGAAGAGGUAUUGGCAGGAUCCUGCUGGUAUCAUUUUCGUGACAAAUUUGGUGCGGGAAAGGCUGAAGAGACCAACUGCAAGGAACAAGGCCUCUCUCCCCGAGAUGCAAGUUAUCUUCACUGCGGUACCUCGCUAUAGGAAAGAUUGGUGCCAUUGAUGGGACGCACGUGAUGAUUGUGGCUCCUAGAGAGUAUAAGGUAGAGUUUGUCAACAGGAAGAGAUACCACAGCAUCAACGUGCAGUUUGUGUUUGAUGCUUGAUACCACAUUAUUGAUGUGGUUGCAAAGUGGCCGGGAUUGGUUCACGAUGCAAGAAUACUUGCUCAAAGUGGACUCUGCACGAUAUUUGACAGCGGCAUCGUCCCAGCUGGGUGUCACUUACUGGGAGAUAGUGGCUAUCCCAGCAAGAAGUGGCUACUGACUCCAUACCUCAGACCACAGCCUGGAGCACAGUCUUCUUAUAACAGGGCCCACAAGAAAACCUGCAGCAUUGUUGAGAGAGGCAUCGGGCAGCUGAAGCCACAUUUUCACAUGCUACACAGUGAAAUCCGAGUUGGUCCUCCAUCCAAGGUCUGCCAAAUUGUAGAGGUUUGUGCAUUGCUGCACAACAUCUGCAAAGCAAGAAACAUCAUUCUUCCUGAGGAAGAAGAACAUCUUGCUGCAGCCGAGGAUGGAGGCAACGAGGAGCGACCCCCAGCACAGAAAGUUCAAAGUCGCCAUGAAGGAAUCCUUUACAGGGAUGAAUUUGUUGUGCUUCACUUCAACAUUGAUGAGUGAUGAGACACCAGUGUCAUGACUGCUGAGAUUGGUGUUAUUCUCAUGUGGAUGAUCUCCUCCUCAUCCACAAACACCAGUGAUAUACCAGGCAAGUCUGGCCCCUGUUGGUGCCACAUCACUGGUGCUGGAAGUGGUGUGGCAGGUGCCUCCUCCUCAACACCCACUGCCUCGGUCACCACUUCUCUCUGUUGGGCUGCCUCUGCCACUUCCCCAGCAUCAUCUGCUGCCUGAACACUGCUGGCAUCAUUAGUUCUAACUUCAGAAACUAAGCUGAUAAUGUUUUUGGUUUUAUUGCUAAGGACAAAAGUAACAGAAACCAGUAAAUCUAGCUAAGGGUA
rnacentral:lncRNA from 1 species